UUUCUGGAGUCCUUGGAAGAUAAGCUUGAGAAUGAAGGAGAGAGGAGGCCCAGACCACCACCUCUUUGGUACACAUUACUGUGAACCUUCAUGCUGUUUAGAGACAAGCGUUUGUGUCUCCUGAUGUUCCUGCCACUGUACAGUGGGUUUCAACAAGAGUUCCUCUCUGGAGAGUACACAAAGUCUUAUGUGACCUGUGCCCUGGGCAUCCACUUUGUGGGCUACGUGAUGAUCUGCUUCUCAGCCAUGACUGCACUGUGCUCCCUGCUGUAUGGGAAGAUCUCCAAGUACACGGGCAGGGCAGCGCUCUAUGUGCUGGGAGCAGCCAUUCACUUCUCUUGCAUUGUGGUCUUCCUGCUGUGGCACCCAAACACCAACCAACUGCCUGUCUUCUUCGUCCUCUCUGGCCUGUGGGGAAUGUCUGAUGCUGUCUGGCAGACACAGAACAAUGAGGCAGGACUACAAUGGAUGGUCUGCAGAGUUUGGGUGAUGUGACUGCAGAGAUUUUUGGACUGCCACUAGAGGGACAUUCUGUACAGGAAAGCAAGCCUUUGAGGACAGAAGAUGAAACCCAAGGGGCCCCCUUGAAGCCACUGGUGUUCCGAGUGGAUGAGAGCACCCCUGGGCUCGUACAGAGUGUCCUGCUGGAGCGUGGGUGGGACAAGUUUGAUGAGCAACGUCAGGAUGUGGAGGACUGGAAUCUAUACUGGAGGUCGUCCUCCUUCCGGAGGGCGGAAUAUGUCAAUGUCAAACCCUGGCAGAGGCUCAACCAUCACCCAGGGAUGACCAAUCUCACCAGGAAGGACUGCCUGGCCAAACACCUGGCGCGCAUGAGAAGUCGCUAUGGUGAGUCUCUCUAUGAGUUCACACCCCUGACAUUCAUCAUGCCCACUGACUAUACCAAGUUUCUGGCCAAGUACUUCAAGG
rnacentral:lncRNA from 1 species